CGUGCCAUUCCUCCUCACUCGUGCUCCAUCGCAUACUCUUCGCGUUCGCAUGGUUUGGGCUGAGAGGGCGGCGGCGGCGGCGACGACGACGACAACGGCGACGGCGGUGUUGGAGAUCGAAUUAGAUACCGAAUUUCUUCUGUAGGAAUAGGUUGCCUGCGUCUCACAACCGAUGCCACUUCUUUCGCUUGCGAAUCCCUCGUCCCCAGCUGGCCACGAGAUGCUCCUCUUAAGAUCCACCUCCGUUUUCCGCUCCGUCUCUCGCCGGAUCUCGACCGUCCGCAUGGCUGCUAUCUCCACUUCCGGGGAGAAGGGUGCUUCGCCUGUUGGGCAAGUGCAGCUCCCGCCUAGCCCCCCUCCGGUUCAGGUUGCCAAGCGGCUGGAAAACUUUAAGACCACUAUCUUCACUCAAAUGAGCUUGCUCGCAAUUAAACAUGGAGCAAUAAACUUAGGCCAGGGCUUCCCUAACUUUGAUGGACCAGAGUUUGUUAAAGAAGCUGCCAUAGAGGCUAUAAAGGAGGGAAAGAAUCAAUAUGCAAGGGGAUAUGGUGUUCCUGAACUUAAUUCUGCCAUUGCUGAGAGGUUUAAGAAGGAUACCGGGUUACAAGUCAAUCCCGAGAAAGAAGUGACUGUGACAUCAGGGUGCACUGAAGCAAUUGCUGCAACCAUUUUGGGUCUGAUCAAUCCUGGCGAUGAAGUGGUACUCUUUGCCCCAUUUUAUGAUUCUUACUUAGCUACGCUCUCUAUGGCUGGUGCUGAAGUAAAGUCUGUCACACUUUGCCCUCCUGAUUUCGCCGUUCCACUUGAUGAGCUGAAAUCUGUUGUAACAAAGAAAACACGUGCCAUAAUGAUAAACACGCCACACAAUCCUACUGGGAAAAUGUUUAGCCGAGAAGAACUGGAAGUGAUUGCCUCUCUCUGCAUAGAGAACGACAUUUUAGUCUUCACUGAUGAGGUUUACGACAAGCUGGCAUUUGAAGCUGAGCAUAUCUCUAUUGCAUCUCUCCCAGGAAUGUAUGAGAGAACUGUGACUAUGAACUCUCUGGGAAAAACAUUCUCCUUGACUGGAUGGAAAAUUGGAUGGGCAGUAGCGCCACCACACCUGACGUGGGGAUUCAGGCAGGCACAUUCAUUCCUCACAUUCUCCACAUCAACUCCCAUGCAGUGGGCAGCUUCAGUAGCUUUGAGGGCAGCUGAUACCUAUUAUGAGGAAUUGAAGAGAGACUACUUGGCUAAGAAAGCAAUACUUGUGGAGGGACUAAAAGCAGCAGGUUUCAUCGUUUACCCAUCGAGUGGGACAUACUUUGUUAUGGUGGAUCAUACCCCGUUUGGGUUCGAAAAUGAUAUAACUUUCUGUGAGUACUUGAUCACAGAGGUUGGAGUAGUGGCCAUACCGACCAGUGUGUUCUACCUGAACCCUGAGGAAGGAAAGAGUUUAGUAAGAUUUACCUUCUGCAAGGAUGAACACACACUGAGGGCAGCGGUCGAGCGGAUGAAGGAAAGGCUCCAUAAGAGAUGAGUGUAGCUUAUGCUGUUCUUUCCAUCAUAUGUUUUGCUCUCCAAAUUCUAAGAAGAUGAAGUUGGCAUGGUUGGAGACGCCUUUAAGGCUAUGGAAGGCGUCUUUCACAUCCUUUAUAAGGACACUUCGACCAAGGCUUCAAUACAACUCAGUUUACAAGCUUCUACAUGUCCAAUUGAUGUUCCGAUUGCUCGGACGUCCUACUGCUACUUCAAAGAAGUCAUUCUAUUACCAAGUUGCUUUUCCGAGUCAUCUAAUCAUCUCUAGUAAACCGAUAGCAACACACGAGCGUGUCCAAAUUAUUGGUAACUUCAAUUGUGUUGCAAACUUUUUUACUGUUGCUUUUAAAGGAAAGUGUGGGUUGUUACACUGUCCCCAUCUUGUAUUCAAUUAUCUCUUCUGGCGGUUUCGGAAGAGAUAUUUAGUA